CUCACUACCAUAUUUGAAAUUGAGUGGAAAUGCCAAGCGGAAGCUUCACAUUUAUUCAUCCGGUGAAAUAUCUGUAUAAUUGUUCUAUUUGUGCUAUAGGCUUCCGUUUUUUUUUUUUACAAACAUAUCCCCUCUGAUGUAGUUCAUCCUUUAUACUUUUAUAUGAACCCCACCUAGUGAAGAUCAAACUCCCGUCCAGUCUAACCCUCGAGGUGCGGAGCACAUGCCACUGUCAACAAACGGCUUUUCAACAGUUGUGCUACUACACACAUUUGGGACCAUAACAUAUUACAAAUAAAUGGGUUUAUGUCAAUGUGGGGAGUCCAACACUUCUCUCACCCUCACCAGACUGCUUAUUACGCAAACCCAAGGGCUUAUCUAGCAGCGAGAGUGUGCGUGUCUGAUCCUCUCACACUCUGCAGCCGGUGUCUGGCUGUUUAGGAUGGGGAAGGUUUCAAAUGCGGAAGUUUCCACCCAUAACGCUGCCACCCCGAAGAUGAGGCUUGCAAUGACAUCUGCGUUAGCAACGCGUUAGGAGAAGUUACCAUUCCGCAGGGAAACUGUUGCUAUACCUCCGCGGAACUGGAGUAAACUUCACAUGGCGUCUCUGGCCAGCGCAGAGCGACGUGCGUUCGCUCUGAAGAUCAACAGACACUCGUCUGCUGAGAUCAGGAGACACUUUGGUGGGAUGUAUGGCUCCCCUCAGGUCUCCAUGCAACACAGUCAUCGUGGCUCCAACGCAUCUGCCUCCAUGUGCUUCACCGUGGUGAGUUCCGCUACUACAGGACUACUACAACCAACUAUGCCCUUUCAUGGGUAGCAGCAAAUAGCGCCACGGUGUAAUAUUUAGCUACCCUGAUUCUGAGUGAGACUCUCAGACAGCAUUUUGUGCUGUAGGCCCAAUAAUGUAAUCCUAAAGAGGGAUUUUGUCCCACCAGACAUUGUGACCCCUCACUUAUUCUCUCUCGCUCGCUCUCUCUCGUACUAAGUGCACUAAUACCUCUCUAUAUUUGACAGGCUUAAGGCAUCAGUGUUUACUGUAAGUCUCUUCAUAUCAUGACUUGCCUAGUUAAAUAAAGGUUAAAUAAAAAAAAUAAAAACAUCUCUCUGAUAUGUCUCUGUCUGCUGCUAGGCAGCUGACUAGGCCAGAGGAGGGAGA
rnacentral:lncRNA from 1 species